UGAUAUAAGCAACGUGCCCUGAAGACUGGGAUAGCCAGCCGAAAGGCUGAGUAAUACCAGAUGUGGCCCUUUGAGGACAUCCUCGAAGGAUUAAACGGUUUUUCGCUUCAGGAGCGGCUUAUAGCCUAUCAGCUAGUUGGUGGGGUAAUGGCCUACCAAGGCUACGACGGGUAGGGGGUCUGAGAGGAUGAUCCCCCCGAGUGGGACUGAGACACGGCCCACACACCUACGGGUGGCAGCAGUUUGGAAUCUUGCCCAAUGGGGGAAACCCUGAGGCAGCGACGCCGCGUGGAGGAUGAAGGAUCUAGGUCUGUAAACUCCUUUUAUCGGGAAAGACUUAGGACGGUACCCGAUGAAUAAGCACCGGCUAACUACGUGCCAGCAGCCGCGGUAAGACGUAGGGUGCAAGCGUUGUCCGGAUUUACUGGGCGUAAAGGACGCGUAGGCGGUUCGUUAAGUGUGAAGUGAAAUCUCCAGGGCUCAACCCGGAAACUGCUUUACAUACUGGCGGACUGGAGGGAUGCAGAGGUAAGUAGAAUUCCUGGUGUAGCGGUGAAAUGCGUUGAUAUCAGGAGGAAUACCGAUGGCGAAGGCAGCUUACUGGGCAUCAUCUGACGCUGAGGCGUGAAAGCGUGGGUAGCAAACAGGAUUAGAUACCCUGGUAGUCCACGCCCUAAACGAUGGAUACUAGACGUAAGAGGUAUCGACCCCUCUUGUGUCGCAGUUAACGCACUAAGUAUCCCGCCUGGGGACUACGGCCGCAAGGUUGAAACUCAAAUGAAUUGACGGGGACCCGCACAAGCGGUGGAGCAUGUGGAUUAAUUCGAUACUAACCGAAGAACCUUACCCAGGUUUGACAUCGAUCGCAAGACCGAGAGAUCGGUCCCUCCCCCCAAAAGGGGGACGUGAAGACACUUGUUGCAUGGCUGUCGUCAGCUCGUGCCGUGAGGUGUACGGUUAAGUCCGCCAACGAGCGCAACCCUCGUCCUAUGUUGCCAGCGAGAAAGUCGGGAACUCAUAGGAGACCGCCGGUGUAAGCCGGAGGAAGGUGGGGAUGACGUCAAGUCAGCAUGGCAGUUACGCCUGGGGCUUCACACAUGCUACAAUGGGCGAAACAGAGGGCAGCAAUAUCGCGAGAUGGAGCAAAUCCCAAAAAUACGCCCCCAGUUCAGAUUGCAGUCUGCAACUCGACUGCAUGAAGGCGGAAUCGCUAGUAAACGCAGGUCAGCUAUACUGCGUUGAAUACGUUCCCGGGUCUUGUACACACCGCCCGUCAAGUCACCUGAAUUGUCUUCACCCGAAGUCUGUGGCCUAACCCGCAAGGGAGGGAGCAGCCGAAGGUGAGGGGGGUAAGGGGGACUAAGUCGUAACAAGGUA
rnacentral:rRNA from 1 species